AUUGAACGCUGGCGGCAGGCCUAACACAUGCAAGUCGAGCGAGCGGCGGACGGGUGAGCAAUGUCUGGGAAACUGCCUGAUGGAGGGGGAUAACUACUGGAAACGGUAGCUAAUACCGCAUACCAUCCGAUUUGCCCACAUGGGUUUAGCUAGUAGGUGGGGUAAUGGCUAACCUAGGCGACGAUCCCUAGCUGGUCUGAGAGGAUAACAGGCCACGUUGGAGCUGAGACACGGUCCAGACUCCUACGAGAGAGAGCAGGGGGGAAUAUUGCAGAUUGGGCGCAAGACGAGUGCAGCCAUGCCGCGUGUGUGAAGAAGGCCUUCGGGUUGUAAAGUACUUUCAGCGAGCAGGCGUUCGCGAAGAAAAGCACCGGCUAACUCCGUGCCAGCAGCCGCGGUAGUAA
rnacentral:rRNA from 1 species